rnacentral:rRNA from 1 species
UGCAGUCGAGCGGAACGAGUUAUCUGAACCUUCGGGGAACGAUAACGGCGUCGAGCGGCGGACGGGUGAGUAAUGCCUAGGAAAUUGCCCUGAUGUGGGGGAUAACCAUUGGAAACGAUGGCUAAUACCGCAUGAUGCCUACGGGCCAAAGAGGGGGACCUUCGGGCCUCUCGCGUCAGGAUAUGCCUAGGUGGGAUUAGCUAGUUGGUGAGGUAAGGGCUCACCAAGGCGACGAUCCCUAGCUGGUCUGAGAGGAUGAUCAGCCACACUGGAACUGAGACACGGUCCAGACUCCUACGGGAGGCAGCAGUGGGGAAUAUUGCACAAUGGGCGCAAGCCUGAUGCAGCCAUGCCGCGUGUGUGAAGAAGGCCUUCGGGUUGUAAAGCACUUUCAGUCGUGAGGAAGGUGGUGUAGUUAAUAGCUGCAUUAUUUGACGUUAGCGACAGAAGAAGCACCGGCUAACUCCGUGCCAGCAGCCGCGGUAAUACGGAGGGUGCGAGCGUUAAUCGGAAUUACUGGGCGUAAAGCGCAUGCAGGUGGUUUGUUAAGUCAGAUGUGAAAGCCCGGGGCUCAACCUCGGAAUAGCAUUUGAAACUGGCAGACUAGAGUACUGUAGAGGGGGGUAGAAUUUCAGGUGUAGCGGUGAAUGCGUAGAGAUCUGAAGGAAUACCGGUGGCGAAGGCGGCCCCCUGGACAGAUACUGACACUCAGAUGCGAAAGCGUGGGGAGCAAACAGGAUUAGAUACCCUGGUAGUCCACGCCGUAAACGAUGUCUACUUGGAGGUUGUGGCCUUGAGCCGUGGCUUUCGGAGCUAACGCGUUAAGUAGACCGCCUGGGGAGUACGGUCGCAAGAUUAAAACUCAAAUGAAUUGACGGGGG